AAGAUAGCGCAGGACGGGGACCGCUCCUCUCACAGAGCCAGAGAUAAAAUCUGCUGGUGGAGGAUGCUGAGGCACGCUGAGCAGGUCUGCAGGGAGGGCAGCCAUCCCGUCCCGUGGGUUAGUCAGUCGUGUUUUGGAGACCCCUUCACGGAGGCAAGUUUUUCCUCAGGCAGGACAGGAAACCUGUUACCGUCCCGGCGCCGGUUCCUUCAGGGCUGGGGCGGCCACAGCAGCCAUGUUCCCACGGCCGGGGAAAGGGGUUGCGCAGGGCUGGGGCACGGAGGUGCUCCCGGAGCCAGCGCGGCCCCGUUCGGCAUUGCGGGAGGAGGAAGAGGAAAAACUCCCCGGGCGCGGCCGGGCGACAGACUCCACCGGCAGCACAAGCUCGCCCGUGCGGACCGGACCGGUCGCUCCCGCCGAGGAUCGCGGCAGCGGGCGAGGACGCGAGACCUGAGUCCAGCACCGAGAGCACCGGCAGAGGAGAGAGCAGGGGGAACCGAGCGGGGCCGCGCUGGAGGGCACGUCUUUUCCAUGACACGUUUGCUGUUUACACCCAACUCCACAUAAACAACAGCUUUCUGGUGCAUUCGGCACGCUGCCGGCCCUGCUGCCUGUGGGGGGACCAGGCCCCGUGCCACUGCGGAGCUGCCCCACCAUUGUGGGGGAAGGAGCCUUCAGAACUGCAGCAGAAGAGUCCCCUCUCAGCCAGCACCUCCCAGCAGUGGGGCUGGAGGAAUGGCUGGGAGCACUGGAGAAGGUUCUGCCUCCCCUCCUGCCCCCCAUUACCCAUCCCUGGGCUGAGCUGGCAUUGCAUGUUGCUGCCAGCCUUACACCUGCCUUCUCUUCCUCUUCUCUUCCUCUUCAGAGUCCCACCAGUGCCCUGCUCCUCCUCACCUCUCCUGGGUUCCUGGCUCUCUUCCCCUCUCCCAGGCUCUCUCAUCUUCCUGCUGGGGGGGAUUUACAGAAGCAUCUCCAGCCCCCACUGCCUUUCCUGUCAUUAGCCCCAAAGGCCCUUCAGAGUCCUGUCCCAUCCUGGCCAGCCACAGCUCAUCCCUUGGUUCUGGGCGCUGGUUUGCCCCAGGACAGUUUAUCCCAACGCCCCCAGGGAGCCUCUUGUGCUCCCCCUGCCCAAGGCAGCACUCACAACAUGCACACACCGUGGAAGGAUUUGGAGCUUGUCCUCCUCCCUCAGCCGCCUCUUGCUUCCCCCAAGGCACUGGUCACCCCAGGCCAGGAACUGACAAAAAGAGCUGCUCCUCCCUGGGAAACCCCCCAGGGCCAAGGGCUCAUCCCAAGCACAAGCGGCUGAUGGGCAGGCAAGAAGAGAAAGGCAGCAGAAAUGUAGGAUCAGAAGAUUAUUACAGAAACACACAAAGAAAGUCUGUGCCAGGAGCUCAUGAAACCUGUAGAGAAAAAAAAAAAAAAAAAAAAAAGAA